AACGAACGCUGGCGGCAUGCCUAACACAUGCAAGUCGAACGAGACCUUCGGGUCUAGUGGCGCACGGGUGCGUAACGCGUGGGAAUCUGCCCUUGGGUUCGGAAUAACAGUUGGAAACGACUGCUAAUACCGGAUGAUGACGUAAGUCCAAAGAUUUAUCGCCCAAGGAUGAGCCCGCGUAGGAUUAGCUAGUUGGUGAGGUAAAGGCUCACCAAGGCGACGAUCCUUAGCUGGUCUGAGAGGAUGAUCAGCCACACUGGGACUGAGACACGGCCCAGACUCCGACGGGAGGCAGCAGUGGGGAAUAUUGGACAAUGGGCGAAAGCCUGAUCCAGCAAUGCCGCGUGAGUGAUGAAGGCCUUAGGGUUGUAAAGCUCUUUUACCCGGGAUGAUAAUGACAGUACCGGGAGAAUAAGCUCCGGCUAACUCCGUG
rnacentral:rRNA from 1 species